GGAGUUAGCCGGUGCUUCUUCUGCGAGUAACGUCACAGAUGUAAGGUAUUAACUUACACCCUUUCCUCCUCGCUGAAAGUGCUUUACAACCCGAAGGCCUUCUUCACACACGCGGCAUGGCUGCAUCAGGGUUUCCCCCAUUGUGCAAUAUUCCCCACUGCUGCCUCCCGUAGGAGUCUGGGCCGUGUCUCAGUCCCAGUGUGGCUGAUCAUCCUCUCAGACCAGCUAGGGAUCGUCGCCUAGGUGAGCCUUUACCUCACCUACUAGCUAAUCCCACCUGGGCUUAUCCAUCAGCGCAAGGCCCGAAGGUCCCCUGCUUUCCCCCGUAGGGCGUAUGCGGUAUUAGCAGUCGUUUCCAACUGUUAUCCCCCACAAAUGGGCAAAUUCCCAGGCAUUACUCACCCGUCCGCCGCUCGUCAUCUUCAAAAGCAAAGCUUUUGAAAUGUUACCGCUCGACUUGCAUGUGUUAGGCCUGCCGCCAGCGUUCAAUCUGAGCCAUA
rnacentral:rRNA from 1 species